rnacentral:rRNA from 1 species
UGAGGAAUUUUCUGCAAUGGGCGAAAGCCUGACAGAGCAAUACCGCGUGAGGGAUGAAGACUCACUGAGUUGUAAACCUCAGUGCCUUAAAGAAGAAUACAAUGACGGUACUUAAGGUAAAGCAUCGGCUAACUCCGUGCCAGCAGCCGCGGUAAGACGGGGGAUGCAAGUGUUAUCCGGAAUUACUGGGCGUAAAGCGUCUGUAGGUGGUUUUUUAAGUCUACUGUUAAAUCUUGAGGCUUAACCUCAAAUCUGCAGUAGAAACUAAGAGACUAGAGUUUAGGAGGGGUAGAGGGAAUUUCCAGUGGAGCGGUGAAAUGCGUAGAGAUUGGAAAGAACACCGAUGGCGAAGGCACUCUACUGGCCUAUAACUGACACUCAGAGACGAAAGCUAGGGGAGCAAAUGGG